AAGGCAAUCCCGGACAAGGCAAUGCCAGGCAAGGCAAGGCAACGCAAGGCAGGGCAGGGCAGGGCAGGGAAAGGCAGGGCAGGGCAGGGAAGGGCAAAUUCGAGGCAAGGCAAUUGCAGGUAAGGCAAGGCAAGGUAAUUCCAGGGAAGGUAACUCCAGGCAAGGCAAGGCAAGGAAAUUCCAGGCAAGGCAAGGCAAUGGAGGGCAAGGCAAUUCCAGGCAAGGCAAGGCUAUUCCAGGCAAGGUAAUUCCAGGCAAUGCAAGGUAAGGCAAGGCAAAAAAUUCCAGGCAAGGCAAGGCAAGGCAAGACCAAUCCAGGCAAGUCAACUUCAGGUAAGGCAAGGCAAGGCAAGGCAAUUCAGGGAAGGCAAUUCAAGGCAAGGCAAGGGAAGGCAAUUCAAGGCAAGGCAAGGAAACGCAAUUCCAGGCAAGGGAAGGCAAACCAAGGCAAUUCAAGGAAAGGCAACUCAAGGCAAUUCUAAGCAAGGCAAGGCAAGGCAAUUCCAGGCAAGGCAAGCCAAGCCAAGCCAAGGCCUAGCAAUUCCAGGCAAGGCAAGAAAAGGUAAGGCAAAGAAAGGCAAUUCCAGGCAGGAAAAUUCCAGUCAAGCAAGGCAAGGCAGCGUAAUUCCAGGCAAGGCAAUUCCAGGCAAGGCAAGGCAGGGCAAUUCCAGUAAAGAUGAUUCCAGGCAAGGCAAGGCAAGGCAAUUCCAGGCAAGGCAAGGCAAGGCAAUUUCAGGCUAGGAAAUUCCAGGCAAUGGAAUUCCAGGCAAGGCAAGGCAAUGCAAGGCAAUUCCAGACAAGGCAAGGCAAGGGAAGGCAAGCAAGGCAAUUCCAAAAAAGGCAAUUCCAGGCAAGGCAAGGCAAGACAAGGCAGGGAAAGGGAAUUCCAGGCAAGGAAAUUCCAGGUAAGGCAAGGCAAGGCAAUUCCAGGGAAGGCAAAUCCAGGCAAGGCCAGGCAAGGCAAGGCAAGGCAAGACAAGGCAAGGCAAUUCCAGACAAGGUAAUUCCAGGAAAGGCAAGGCAAUUCGCCUGGAAUUGCCUUGCCUAGAAUUGCCUUGCCUUGCCUUGACUGGAAUUGGGUUGCCUGAAAUUGCCUUGACCUGCCUUAGUGGGAAUUGCCUUGCCUGGAAUUUCCUUUCCCUACCUUUUCUUGCCUUGCCUGGCCUGGAAUGCCAUUCCAGCAAUUGCCUUGCCUGGAAUUGCCUUGCCUGGAAUUGCAUUGCAUUACCUUGCUUCUCCUUGCCUGGAAUUGCCCCGCCUUGACUUCCCUGGAAUAGCCUUGCCUGGAAUUGCCUUAUCUUGCCUCUCCUACUGGAAUUGCCUUGUUUCAAGUUGCCUUGCCUUGCCUUUCCUCACCUGGAAUUGCCUCGCCUAAAAUUUCCUUGCCUUGCAUUGUGUUGCUUUGCCUUGACUGGAAUUGCCUUGCCUGGAAUUGCCUUGCCUUGCCUUAAUGGCAAUUGCCUUGCCUGGAAUUGCCUUUCCCUGCAUUUUCUUGCCUUGCCUGGCCUGGAAUUGCCUUUCUGGCAAUUGCCUUACCUUGCAUUGCCUGGAAUUGCUUUGCCUGGAAUUGCCUUGCCUUGCAUUGCCUUGACUUGCCUGGAAUUGCCUGGCCUAGAACUGCAUUGCCUUGCCUUACUUUGCCUUGCCUGGAUUGCCUUGCCUGGAAUUAUUUUUCCUUGCCUUUCCUGGGAUUGCCUUGUCUGGAAUUGCCUUGCCUUGUCUUGCCUUGCCUUGCCUGGAAUUGCCUUGCCUGAAAUCGUCUUGCCUGAAAUCACCUUGCCUGGAAUUGCCCUUCUUUGUCUUGCCUCGCCUUGCCUCGAAUUGCCUUGCUUGGAAUUCCCUGCCUUGCCUUGCCUCAUCUUGCCUUGCCUGGAAUUACCCGGCUUUGCCUUGCCUUUUCUUACUUCGAAUUACCUUGCCUGGAAUUUGACUGCCUUGCCUUGUUUUGCCUUGCCUGGAAUUGCCUUGCCUGGAAUUGCCACGCCUUACCUUGCCUGAAAUUGCCUUGCCUGAAAUUUUCUUGCCUUUCUGGGAAUUUUCUUGCAUUA
rnacentral:lncRNA from 13 species